rnacentral:rRNA from 1 species
GAUGAACGCUAGCGGCAGGCUUAACACAUGCAAGUCGAGGGGCAGCGUGAUGAAGUAGCAAUACUGAUUCGACGGCGACCGGCGCACGGGUGCGUAACGCGUAUGUAACCUACCUUUAACAGGGGGAUAACACUGAGAAAUUGGUACUAAUACCCCAUAACACUAUAGGAGGCAUCUCCUUUGGUUGAAAGUUCCGGCGGUUAAAGAUGGACAUGCGUUGUAUUAGCUAGAUGGUGAGGUAACGGCUCACCAUGGCGACGAUACAUAGGGGGACUGAGACACGGCCCAG